UCCCAGGCGUGCGGAUAUUUCCGCGCCGCGCGGACAUUCCCUAUACCCGCGCGGACAGCGUACGGACAAAAACCUUAUGGGAAAAUUUUUCCCUAUCUUAUUUUGUCCGUACGCUCGCCCGGCCCUGUCCGUGCGUCUGUUUAUCCGCUUUUCUUUGCAAUAUUUAUUACUUUUGCGUAAGUUAUUGAUACAAUGAUGUUUAGUAUGAAAGCCGGGUAUCGUUUGGGAACAAAUUACAUACUUUUCGCAUUAAUUAUAUUGUAUUCUUAUCAAAAUUCAGUCAUUUCAUUUAUGUCCGUGCGCCCGCCCGGCCCAGUCCGUGCAUCUGUUAAUCCGCUUUUCUUUGCAAUAUUUAUUACUUUUGCAGGACAUAGGUACUUGAAUGUCACAAGAGAUCAAGAGAACAUCAACAUCAUCAAC